UAAUACAUGCAAGUCGAACGCUUCUUUUUCCACCGGAGCUUGCUCCACCGGAAAAAGAGGAGUGGCGAACGGGUGAGUAACACGUGGGUAACCUGCCCAUCAGAAGGGGAUAACACUUGGAAACAGGUGCUAAUACCGUAUAACAAUCAAAACCGCAUGGUUUUGAUUUGAAAGGCGCUUUCGGGUGUCGCUGAUGGAUGGACCCGCGGUGCAUUAGCUAGUUGGUGAGGUAACGGCUCACCAAGGCCACGAUGCAUAGCCGACCUGAGAGGGUGAUCGGCCACAUUGGGACUGAGACACGGCCCAAACUCCUACGGGAGGCAGCAGUAGGGAAUCUUCGGCAAUGGACGAAAGUCUGACCGAGCAACGCCGCGUGAGUGAAGAAGGUUUUCGGAUCGUAAAACUCUGUUGUUAGAGAAGAACAAGGAUGAGAGUAACUGUUCAUCCCCUGACGGUAUCUAACCAGAAAGCCACGGCUAACUACGUGCCAGCAGCCGCGGUAAUACGUAGGUGGCAAGCGUUGUCCGGAUUUAUUGGGCGUAAAGCGAGCGCAGGCGGUUUCUUAAGUCUGAUGUGAAAGCCCCCGGCUCAACCGGGGAGGGUCAUUGGAAACUGGGAGACUUGAGUGCAGAAGAGGAGAGUGGAAUUCCAUGUGUAGCGGUGAAAUGCGUAGAUAUAUGGAGGAACACCAGUGGCGAAGGCGGCUCUCUGGUCUGUAACUGACGCUGAGGCUCGAAAGCGUGGGGAGCAAACAGGAUUA
rnacentral:rRNA from 1 species